UACGGAGGGUGCAAGCGUUAUCCGGAUUUACUGGGUUUAAAGGGUGCGUAGGUGGAUAAUUAAGUCAGUGGUGAAAUCUUCAGGCUUAACCUGGAAACUGCCAUUGAUACUAUUUGUCUUGAAUACUUUGGAGGUAAGCGGAAUAUGUCAUGUAGCGGUGAAAUGCUUAGAUAUGACAUAGAACACCAAUUGCGAAAGGCAGCUUACUACACAGUAAUUGACACUGAGGCACGAAAGCGUGGGGAGUCAAACAGGA
rnacentral:rRNA from 1 species